CCUACGGGAGGCAGCAGUGGGGAAUUUUGGACAAUGGACGCAAGUCUGAUCCAGCCAUGCCGCGUGUGGGAAGAAGGCCUUCGGGUUGUAAACCACUUUUGUCAGGGAAGAAACGGCUCGGGUUAAUACCUUGGGCUAAUGACGGUACCUGAAGAAUAAGCACCGGCUAACUACGUGCCAGCAGCCGCGGUAAUACGUAGGGUGCAAGCGUUAAUCGGAAUUACUGGGCGUAAAGCGUGCGCAGGCGGUUAUGCAAGACAGAUGUGAAAUCCCCGGGCUCAACCUGGGAACUGCAUUUGUGACUGCAUGGCUAGAGUACGGUAGAGGGGGAUGGAAUUCCGCGUGUAGCAGUGAAAUGCGUAGAUAUGCGGAGGAACACCGAUGGCGAAGGCAAUCCCCUGGACCUGUACUGACGCUCAUGCACGAAAGCGUGGGGAGCAAACAGGAUUAGAUACCCUGGUAGUCCACGCCCUAAACGAUGUCAACUGGUUGUUGGGAGGGUUUCUUCUCAGUAACGUAGCUAACGCGUGAAGUUGACCGCCGUCGGGAGGUACGGCCGGCGACGGUUAGUAACGUUAAAGGUAAAGUUAGUACGGACGUGAGACGUACGCCGACGGACGACGACGAGGGAGGUUAGGAG
rnacentral:rRNA from 1 species